rnacentral:rRNA from 1 species
AGCGAAUAGAUACCCGGGUAGUCCCAGCCGUAAACGAUGCUCGCUAGGUGUCAGGCAUGGCGCGACCGUGUCUGGUGCCGCAGGGAAGCCGUGAAGCGAGCCACCUGGGAAGUACGGCCGCAAGGCUGAAACUUAAAGGAAUUGGCGGGGGAGCACAACAACGGGUGGAGCCUGCGGUUUAAUUGGACUCAACGCCGGACAACUCACCGGGGGCGACAGCAAUAUGUAGGCCAAGCUGAAGACUUUGCCUGAAUCGCUGAGAGGAGGUGCAUGGCCGUCGCCAGUUCGUACUGUGAAGCAUCCUGUUAAGUCAGGCAACGAGCGAGACCCGUGCCCACUGUUACCAGCAUGUCCUCCGGGACGAUGGGUACUCUGUGGGGACCGCCGAUGUUAAAUCGGAGGAAGGUGCGGGCCACGGUAGGUCAGUAUGCCCCGAAUCUCCCGGGCUACACGCGGGCUACAAUGGAUGGGACAAUGGUCCUCCCUGAAAGGCUGGUAAUCUCACAAACCCAUUCGUAGUUCGGAUCGA